UACAGAGGUCUCAAGCGUUGUUCGGAUUCAUUGGGCGUAAAGGGUGCGUAGGCGGCGCGGUAAGUCGGGUGUGAAAUCUUGGAGCUUAACUCCGAAACUGCAUUCGAUACUGGCGUGCUUGAGGACUGGAGAGGAGACUGGAAUUUACGGUGUAGCGGUGAAAUGCGUAGAUAUCGUAAGGAAGACCAGUGGCGAAGGCGGGUCUCUGGACAGUUCCUGACGCUGAGGCACGAAGGCCAGGGGAGCAAACGGG
rnacentral:rRNA from 1 species